UCCGGUUCUCGUUAGAUCACCGAAGUCAAGCAUCAUUGGGCGCGGUCAGUACUUGGGUGGGUGACCACCUGGGAACACCGCGUGCCGUU